UACGUAGGGGGCUAGCGUUGUCCGGAAUCAUUGGGCGUAAAGCGCGUGUAGGCGGUCCGGUAAGUCCGCUGUGAAAGUCGGGGGGCUCAACCCUCGAAUGCCGGUGGAUACUGUCGGGCUAGAGUGCGGAAGAGGCGAGUGGAAUUCCUGGUGUAGCGGUGAAAUGCGCAGAUAUCAGGAGGAACACCAAUUGCGAAGGCAGCUCGCUGGGACGUUACUGACGCUGAGACGCGAAAGCGUGGGGAGCGAACAGG
rnacentral:rRNA from 1 species